UACGUAGGGGGCAAGCGUUGUCCGGAAUUAUUGGGCGUAAAGCGCGUGUAGGCGGCUCGGUAAGUCUGCUGUGAAAGUCCAAGGCUCAACCUUGGAAAGCCGGUGGAUACUGUCGAGCUCGAGUCCGGAAGAGGCGAGCGGAAUUCCUGGUGUAGCGGUGAAAUGCGCAGAUAUCAGGAGGAACACCGAUGGCGAAGGCAGCUCGCUGGGACGUGACUGACGCUGAGACGCGAAAGCGUGGGGAGCAAACAGG
rnacentral:rRNA from 1 species